UGAUGGAGCAACGCCGCGUGAGUGAAGAAGGCUUUCGGGUCGUAAAACUCUGUUGUUGGAGAAGAAUGGUCGGCAGAGUAACUGUUGUCGGCGUGACGGUAUCCAACCAGAAAGCCACGGCUAACUACGUUGCCAGCAGCCGCGGUAAUACGUAGGUGGCAAGCGUUAUCCGGAUUUAUUGGGCGUAAAGCGAGCGCAGGCGGUUUUUUAAGUCUGAUGUGAAAGCCCUCGGCUUAACCGAGGAAGCGCAUCGGAAACUGGGAAACUUGAGUGCAGAAGAGGACAGUGGAACUCCAUGUGUAGCGGUGAAAUGCGUAGAUAUAUGGAAGAACACCAGUGGCGAAGGCGGCUGUCUGGUCUGUAACUGACGCUGAGGCUCGAAAGCAUGGGUAGCGAACAGGAUUAGAUACCCUGGUAGUCCAUGCCGUAAACGAUGAAUGCUAGGUGUUGGAGGGUUUCCGCCCUUCAGUGCCGCAGCUAACGCAUUAAGCAUUCCGCCUGGGGAGUACGACCGCAAGGUUGAAACUCAAAGGAAUUGACGGGGGCCCGCACAAGCGGUGGAGCAUGUGGUUUAAUUCGAAGCAACGCGAAGAACCUUACCAGGUCUUGACAUCUUUUGAUCACCUGAGAGAUCAGGUUUCCCCUUCGGGGGCAAAAUGACAGGUGGUGCAUGGUUGUCGUCGGCUCGUGUCGUGAGAUGUUGGGUUA
rnacentral:rRNA from 2 species